AAAAAAUAAACCAUUCCUUUUAUAUUUAGAAAUACCAAACAAGAAAACCACCCCCUUAUUUCCUUAAGAGAGAACUAAAUUUAAAGAUGUUAUUUUUGUCAUACCACUGAAAUAGCUUUUCCAUAAAUACAAAGGCCAUAAUGAGGCUUUGAAAGCCCAAGAAGAGGAACUUGGGAUCAGCAGCUUCUGUGGGACAUUCUCUGAGAUUGGGGGACUGCUUGUACUAAGCUUUAUAGUGGACCUUCACGUUCUGAGUUUCUGAAAUGUUGGUGAUGUCUGAGAAAGGGAAGAUAAAUCAUGCUGCCACUGCUCUCUGCACACCCACCUCUGCAAAGUAUCUAAUGGUACAUCUUGUUGCUGUUCUGCAUGCAGUCCUGAGAGCAACGUGUCUGCUGCAUGGGCAGGGACAGAGACAGCAAUGAUGUGAGUGCCCAAUCACAUUCCUGCUCUGUCUCUUCUCUGUUACGGCGCUGAGGUUGCAGUCUCUUACCAGAGCCACUUCUACUGUACAAGGGCAUUAGGUUUCAUUGGGUUUCAAGGGCGAGUUGGAGGACACAUGGCUCUGCAGUAUUUCCAGACAUGCAGAGGACUUCAGAAGCCCGAUAUGAGGACCACCAGACAGUGCCACUGUAGGCAGUGGUCACAACUGUCUUCUAUUUCCCUGCUGGGAGCCCAGAGUUUGAAAAAAGUGUUACUGAUUCAUGAGGUUCUGUCCAGAUCUGCAUUUCCAUCUGAAACCUACCAACUUAAUUUGUCUCCAACCAUUCCUCGUCCAUAGAUUUGACAAGUAAAAAUAAGAUAAAAUAAGAUAAAAUAAAAUAAAAUAAAAUAAAACAAAAUAAAAUAAAAAGCCCCAAACAAGAAAACCUAAUGGCUGAGAGAAGUUUGUCUCUUUUUGGCUGGGGCCCAGCUGGUUUCAGCCCAUUUCAAUGUAAAUUUCAGUGAAAGAUGCUAAAAU
ensembl:lncRNA